UCUGGUGACGAUGGCGAAGUGGACACACCUGUUCCCAUCCCGAACACAGAAGUUAAGCACUUCAGCGCCGAUUGUAGUACAUUAGUGUGCAAGAGUAGGACGUUGCCAGGC
rnacentral:rRNA from 1 species